UUUAAAUUGAAGAGUUUGAUCAUGGCUCAGAUUGAACGCUGGCGGCAGGCCUAACACAUGCAAGUCGGACGGUAGCACAGAGGAGCUUGCUC
rnacentral:rRNA from 1 species